AAAUCAAAAAGAAGACACAUGGCUAGAAAUGGUGGUGUGGCCUAUAAACAAAUAACACGUUUCUUCAUUAUUAUUGGAUUUGUUAUUUGUGCUAUCAUUGUUGAAUCGCAUGACAGUAUUCCAGAAUGGUCUUCAGCUCAAUACGAUGGUCUUGAACAUCAGGAAUAUAAGCUGAAAAGUUGUCUUCAAACAUGCAAGAGCCGCUAUAGAAAUAAUCCGGAAGCGAAGGAGGAUUGCAUUAAGAAAUGCAAAGCUAAGUAUAGUCCUCCGGUGGAAAGUUAUAACAAUGGCAUGUAAGAAUUGAAAUUUAAAUAAAUCUUUAAUUUCAAUACAUAGAAGAAGAUUUGAGCACCUCAUCGAUCAGACCAGAAAAUGAUUCACAUUGCAAUACGGGAUGUUUAAAUACUUUGUUAAUUAUAUUUGUUACGGCCUUUCUUAUUAUUUCAGUUAUCCUUGUGGUUUAAUAGUUAAAUUUCGCUACAAGGUAAUAGUUGCCAUUAGGCUACAAUCAAAUGUAAUAAAUUGUGAAGUGAAAUUAUUGCUGCCGAAAUUUCUUUUACAUGCU